GGAAGCUAAUCGUCUAGCGGAUGG
rnacentral:siRNA from 1 species